rnacentral:lncRNA from 1 species
AAGUUGACCAGCUCAAAUCCAACAUGUCCAAGGAUAGAAGCCUCCCUUUGCUGUGACCCACUGAGUUUUGUUGACUCUAAGUGCUGUGUUCUGAAAGUAGAGGCCACACAGCUCCAUGGUAUUCCUCCACGGUAUUCCAGCAUGGACCCCUCUACCUAUUUUAAAUUCUACAGAAUUUUCCCAUUGCAUCUAGUAAAAAAGCUCUGCAAGUUAUCAAAGUUAUUUAGUGUUUGGACUCCACUCAAAUAGCUGGCCCUUUGACCAUUCUGCCUUCCCUAUUGAUCUUGUACCUCAGGGCUACUGGGAGUCCACACUGUACUCAGUCCUCUGUUUCCACCUCUGCACUCUAUACCCAUACUUUUUUACCCCUUUCCCAUGGUACUGAGGCUGUUUCUGGUCAGUCUUGAAGCAUAGGCAGGGCGAAGGAGUAACUCAGUGCCACACAGAUUGCAGUGUGGUUUUCUAGUUCGGAGUUCCCUGAAGAUGCUAUAUAGUAUAUUCAAAGAAUGUGCAUGUUUCCUUUAAAUACAUUAUGCUUUGGUGUGAUUCUGAGAUAAGCAUCCUGAAUCACUGACUAGUAGUUAUUUUAAAUUCACAGGCUUUUUAGCUAUCCCUAAGACACUUGAUAUGUCUAUAACCUGGGGCAUAUUAUGACAAGAAUGGCUUGUACAUGACAUUUACAGGAAGAUGUUUUCAAAUUCAAUGAAAGUCCUUGACAUGAUGCUACCUAAGGACUGAUAAUCACUGCUCUUCUCAGGUGGUCAUGAGGAGAAUUGCUGUUUCUAAAACACUUUCUGGUCAUCCCCUGUUACAGGGCUCAUGCCACCCUCUUUGUGCAGUCCUGUCCUGUCGUGGUGGGGAUGUCUUGGGCAGUGUGCAUGACAGAAGCCAGAUGGCCCUCCAGAAAGGAAACUGCCAAGAAUGAGAAAUGCAAGAUUCUCAGAAAAUGCCAUGUUUGGUUUGGAUUUUGUCCUGGAAUGUGAAACAGAACAAAUGUUAGAUCCUCCCGGGGUGCCUUGAAGAUGAAAUGAGGAAGAGAGGGAAAGCCAUUGGUGAGAAUUAUCUGCUGUGUUUCUCCACAUUUUAUGAUAGUUAUUAAUUAUCAUCACCAACAUUAUUGUAAUUAUCAGACUGUGUGCUAACAUAUAUAAAAUUUACAGCAUGUGGAAGAAGGAAAAAAAUAAAUCUUUCUUAAAAUACCCA